rnacentral:rRNA from 1 species
GACGAACGCUGGCGGCGUGCUUAACACAUGCAAGUCGAACGGUGAAGCGCCUUCCUUUUUGGUGGGUGUGGAUGAGUGGCGAACGGGUGAGUAACACGUGAGUAACCUGCCCCCUUCUUCUGGAUAACCGCAUGAAAGUGUGGCUAAUACGGGAUAUUCUGGGUCUGUCGCAUGAUGGGUCUGGGAAAGAUAUUGUUUCGGUGGGGGAUGGGCUCGCGGCCUAUCAGCUUGUUGGUGGGGUGAUGGCCUACCAAGGCGGUGACGGGUAGCCGGCCUGAGAGGGUGGACGGUCACACUGGGACUGAGACACGGCCCAGACUCGUACGGGAGGCAGCGGGGGGGAAUAUUGCACAAUGGGCGCAAGCCUGAUGCAGCGACGCCGCGUGAGGGAUGGAGGCCUUCGGGUUGUGAACCUCUUUCGCCAGUGAAGCAGGCCUGCCUCGUUUGUGGGUGGGUUGACGGUAGCUGGAUAAGAAGCGCCGGCUAACUACGUG